rnacentral:rRNA from 1 species
UACGUAGGGAGCAAGCGUUGUUCGGAUUUACUGGGCGUAAAGGGCGCGUAGGCGGCAAAUUAAGUCAGCUGUGAAAUCUCCGAGCUUAACUCGGAACUGUCAGCUGAUACUGAUCUGCUAGAGUGCAGAAGGGGCAAUCGGAAUUCUUGGUGUAGCGGUGAAAUGCGUAGAUAUCAAGAGGAACACCUGAGGUGAAGACGGGUUGCUGGGCCGACACUGACGCUGAGUGCGCGAAAGCCAGGGGAGCAAACGGG